ensembl:lncRNA
AAUGUUGAAAAUCAGGCUUUGAGAAUUUGACUUCUAGUCAUAUUGUUGGAAGUUAUAAUCAUUUAAAACCAUGUUGCUACUAUAAAGCUGUCAUAAGUAAGACAGAGUGGUAUUGGCACAAUGGUAAACAAACUGACCAAUGAACAGAAAAAGUCCAAGAAACAGACCUGAACGUAGCGGUCACUUGAUUUAUGAGGAAGGUGACAUGCAGUGCAGUGAGUGAAGGGUGAUGUUUCCAAUAUGUAUUGCUGGGCCAAAGGAUAUUCAUACAGGAAAAGAAUAUAUUUUUGCUUUUGCUUUCCAACACACACAAAAUCACUUCCAAAUGGUUUGCAAAUCUAAAUGUGAAAGAUUAAACAAAGCUUUUAGGGGGAAAAAAGAUCUUUGUGACCUUGGAGUAGGCAAGGAUUUUUUUAAAAUAGGAUACAACGCUAGCCAUACAAGGGGGAAAAAUUGAUUAAUUGUGUUAAAAUUAAGAACUUUUAAUUCAUCAAAACUUUUAAUUCAGGGGCUGGCCCCGUGGCCGAGUGGUUAAGUUCGCGCGCUCCGCUGCAGGCGGCCCAGUGUUUCGUUGGUUCAAAUCCUGGGCGCGGACAUGGCACUGCUCAUCAGACCACGCUGAGGCAGCAGCCCACAUGCCACAACUAGAAGGACCCACAACGAAGAAUACACAACUAUGUACCGGGGGGCUUUGGGAAGAAAAAAAGGAGAAAAAUAAAAUCUUUAAAAAAAAAAAAAACUUUUAAUUCAGCAUCAGGAAGAAGGCAACCAACAGAAUUGAAGACAUAUACAUAUCCAAAAAUCCAGAAAUAUACAACAAUAUAUACAAAGGACUUAUAUCCGAAAUAUGUAAAGAACUUAUAAAAUCAGUAAGCAAAAAAACCAACAGAAAAAGAAACAAGACUUAAACAUUUACAAAAAAAGAUAUCCAAAUGACCAAAGACAUGGAAAGGUGUUCCACUUCAUUCAUUAUCAGAAAUGCAAAUUAAACCCACAAUACCACAGCACUACAUGUUCCUAGAAUGGCUAAAAUGAGAAAAAAGAUAGCAAGUGUUGGCAGAGACGUAAAGCAACUACAGCGGUUGUCAAUGGAAGAUGUAAUGCACUAUAUAUAAUAGCCAAAAGUAGGGCACUACUCAAAUGCCCGUCAACACUAGAAUGGAUGUAUCAGCUGUGGCAUAUUCGUGUAAAAGGAUGCUAUAUAAUAAUGAAAAUGAAUGCUUUAUGACUACUUAUAACAAAAUGAUGACACUAAUAAGCAUAAUGUUGUGUGAAAGAAGCUAGACACUUAAAAAGAGUACACACUAUAUAGUUCCAAUAAUAUGAAGUACACAAAGAAAACUGUUGCUGAAAGUCCGAAUGAUGCUUAUCCUUGGGAGGGGAAGGAGAGUGACUGGAAGGAAAGAUAAGGAGGCUGCUGAGGUGUUGAUAAUGUUCUUUUUCCUGAAUUUGGGUGUUGACCACAUGGGUAAUUUAGUUGUGCAAAUUCAAGUUGUACACUUAUGUGCACUGUUUUGUGUGUAUAAUAUACUUCAAUAAAAAGUUUUUAAAAUGCAACCAAAUCUACUCUUAAAAUAGUGGUAGAACCUAUUCAAAGAUAACUGGUACCAAGAAAAGACCCCUAAAACUGA